AUGAAUCUGCCCCUUUUACUGGAUCUGCACCAUAAUUUAGUGGAUUCUUCUCUGGCCCACACCCCAUCCCUUAGCCAAGUUUGGUGCAAAUUGGUAGAUACAUGGUUCUGCCACCCCAGGUGGUGGUAGUAUGCAUAUGGACCUAAACAUUGACAGUUUAACUGUAAGGAAAUUGUUAAGUAACAAUAUCAACUAUAUAUGAAAUACUGUUAAGUAACAUUCAGGUGAAUAUAAUUUCAAAUGAACACAUUUCAAACAUUUCGUGCAGCAGCUAAUGUUCAAGGCUAGGUUAACAGAUAAUUGUGCUUGUCAUCACUGCAUUGCUGGUGUUGUUGAAGGGGUACUUUAGUUCAUCUGACAGGGCUGUAGGGGUAAAAAUCAGGGGGAAAAAAAGUUUGGAAACCACUGAUCUAGAAAAUGCGAAGCAUCUCAAGUUACUGUCACUGAGCUCCUCUGUUUAUUCAAAAGACUGUUUUUCCUUUGCAAUGCAGCAUGUUUAUCCAUAAAGAAAUUAAAUUCCUCUACAGGUAGGAAGCAUUGGUUACAUUGAGGCCUGUCAUUCACAUAUCCUUUCACACUGUUGAUGAUUUAGCACUCAGUAUUUUUUAUUUCUUUCUUUCAGUAUUUGUGGAAGUGGAUAAUUCUGUGGCUGGUUGAUUGGUUGUACGUUUGUGUCUUUGUAACAUGUUUGAAAUGAUAGAAUCACAGAGAGGCCUCAACUGGUCUUUUAUCCUGUUCCUGUCAUUUACCCUCUACAGAGAAGCCCAUCCUUCUUGGCUUCAGUUCGCUGUUUACGCUGGCAGGCUUGCAUUUGCUCCUGCUGCCUGUGACAGCCAUUAAAAUUAGCUCACACAGCGCCAUAAUGGUGAGCAGCUGUCACAGCGUAGACAAGGAGGGUAAAGUGCAGCAUUACAGGAAUGCAUUGGACUCAGACAGAGAAGGGAGGGGAGAGGAUAAUACCAGGACCAUCAUUACUGUCUGGUGAAAGUCUUCUUGCCAUAGUGUGAUACCAAACAAACAUGCUCUACUGCUAACAGACUAUUUUAUCAGCUGAGGUUUAUGUUCUGACCAGAGGGAGAGACAAACAUUAAACUUUGGUGUCCACUUACCAAAGAACUUUUAAAUUACUUGGGGAAAAUCAGCUUAGGAUAAUAACACGAGAUGGUCCGCCUCAUUUCAUCCUCCCAGUACACACUGAACCUUUUUCACACACGUGAGCAGUGUAUUAUUUACUCGUUGAGCACAACCUUAGACACAUUUGGAUCACAGUCAUUUUGAAUCUCUUUGCAAACCACAGUAGAGAGUCACGUGCUCAGCCUGUGUGUAUUCAGUAGUGAGAGCGAGAAAACACCCAGGGAAGGUCAAUAAAUAUGAGGCAACGUCCCAAACACCUCUGUGGCUGGAAGCAGUCUGAAUCACUGAAAACUGCAAGUCAGCACUGUCUGAAAAAAAUGGAGUAUAUCGGCCUUCGUGCAGCCAUCCAUUGAAUAUGGAUUUGAACUCGUCCAACACCCACCCCAUUCAUCUGAUUUGGCACUCAGAGUCCUACCUCUUCCCCAAGAUGAAGAGGGAGUUCAGUGGUUGCCAUUUUGACAGUGAUGAUGACAUCAUCGCUGCUGUGGACCACUUUCUCAGACUUACAAUUUUCAAUUACCCGAAACUGAAAUACCACAAAAGUUAUUAACUUCAAACUCUCUGCAUCAUCAUUCAAACUGAUGCUGUACAUGCACGUGCUGAACUGCACAGGGAUGUAACUGAGAGCUGUUUAACUCAUCUGCCUCUACCUUAGGUCAAAAAUUCCCCUCCUAGUCAGAGAGGCUCUAACUACUGAUUCUCUUUCUGCUCAGUUUUCAGUCUUUACUAAUGAUAAUGCAACUAAUUGCAAAUCCAUUCAUUUGAAUAUGAGUGACAUCGUUUUGUGUAUUAGCUGUACUGUAUAUAUGUGGUGACAAAACAAGAAAAAGGAAACUUAGUGAAACAAAGAUUUGUAUUUGUGACCAGAAACAGUUUGACAGUCUUGAAAUGCACAUCAUGGCAUCUUUUUUUAAUCCAGGUAAAAAGCUUCUUUCUCAAACACCACACUUAAGGCUUCUGUGAGAAAUAAAUAAUAUUUUAUAUCAUCCCCAGUCAAUCACCCCUUUUCAUCACUGACAAGAUAGAUGUGACACUGCACACUAAUUACACUCUCCCUCUGGGUACAUUUCAUCUAAUAUGGAACAGAAACCACCUCACCUUCACCAUUCCCUGCUCAGCAUGUAUAGACUGUAGGUGAUGGUUCUCAACACCUGAGAUGAAAGUAACAAUAAAAAUAAGGCUGAACUCCGCUUAAGGCUGAGCACUUUAAAGACACAAGCCUGAAAUUUUGUGGUUCUUUCAUCCCUUUUGCGCUGCCCCACCUGAAGGAAAACAACUGAAAAGCUGUAAACACACUGAGAUGAUUUGGAUACUUCAGUCCAGCUGCCUGUCUGAGUCCCCCCUUUCCUCACCCCGGCGCUUCCCCUUCUUCUUCCCCUCCCUUUGUGGCUGCAGUUGUUUGACUCCUACAGGCUGUUUGAGUCAUGCUGGCUACUGGCCUGGCAUCCACCUUCGCAAGCCACAG